CUGUAUUUCUGCCCUUACCUUAGGUUGACAAGUUUAAGAGUUGGAGACUGCUGCCUUUGAAUCCAGGUUAUGGUAUGUGUAUUUUAUUGGAUCUCAAACUCAACUUGAAAAACUGGAAUAUGCAUUGACUAGGGAGCCAUACCUUAAGGCUUUCACUACUGGACAAAUAACAAAUCCCUAAGAAUAAUGACAUCAUCAUAGCUGAAGCUCAUAACUCAGAUGUAUCCUGGAAGAUCCUGGGAGGAACAUGAAUGUCAGAGAACAGCAUGAGAAGACAUAAAAAACAUAAUUUUCUGUUGAAAGUCUUUCACAAUUAGUAAUAAAUCAUUAUGAAGGGAAAUGAGGAAGGGUUGUCUGGAAGAAAUAAUUAUUUGAGCAGAGGAGGAGAUAUGCCACACUUCUCCUUUCAGUCUUUUAUAUAUAUAUAUUAUACAUAUUUAUUUUACAUAUAUUUAUAUAAAAUAUAUAAAUUUAUAAAUAUAUAUAUAUAAAUCCAACUGAGAUAUUUUAUCAAAAUUCUGAAAUUCAAGCUUAUUAUGCCAAAGAAAUAAAUUGUUGAAUUCAGAACUUUCUGAUACAAAAUUAUUCUAAGUUUUUGGGUUCCUACAUUUUCUGCAUUUAUAUCUUUUUCCUCACUUUCAACUCCUUUUGUCACUGGCUCCAGAUAUUAUACAGCUACUUUGUUUCAUCUGAAGGGGAACAAUGGAAGAAAAGGUGUAUGAAAAAGUGAUGGCAAUUUUUUAUUUUUAUUUCCAGCUUUUCUGCACCAGAAUAAUUCUUGUUACUGUAUUAAAUAGGAAGAAUCUAAGUAUUAAGACAGAGAUCUGGAGGAAAAAAAACCAAGAAAACUGAAACAAUUAUUUUAGUCAAUGUUUGGAAAAACAUGAUAAUUGAAAAAAAAAUUAGAAGAGUGCUCAUAUUUGAUGGUCUUAUUUUUUCAGAACAGUCUCUUAUAUUGACUUAAUGAUGUCCACUGGAAUUGAAACAACAGUGCCUACACAAGGGACUUACUCUCUUUAAUUGCAUCAGUUGAAAGUGAUUCAACUUUUUGGUCAGAGAUGAACACAGGAAAAUGGAAAAAUAAAUGUGUAUUUUUUUGUGUGUGUUUUUUUUUUUGUUGUUUUUUUUAAUAGUAAAAUAAAGGGAAGGAAGCAAGGCAAACAACUUAUGGCCCUGAAAUACCAUAUUAUUAUAUCUAGGAAACCAUGACCAAAAGAUGCUAAUUUGUCUCAACUCACUCACUGUGAGGGUUCCCUUUGAUCCUCCUGCCUUUCUUAGAGUGUGAUGUUCUCACAUUUUAAUGCAGUAUCAUUUGACAUUGAGAUGCAGGGAAAAUUGUCCAGUAAACAGCUUUCUUGUACUGAUUUGGAGCUUGUGGGAAAGAUUACAGCGUGAGCUGGAGCCUGCCACAAGAGAAAUGGAUUAUUACUCUGGGAACACUUACAUCAAGAAGGGCCCUUUUACAGCUGAAAGAGGCAACCUUUUACAAAGAGCUGUGUUCUGUGAACUCCUUGUCAGCUUGCUGAAAGUGCUAACUCACUUACAGCAUACAGGUCAUUCCUCCCUAGAAACAGGAGAAAAUCUUUAGCAUGCUAUUUGUGACUUCUUCUCCUUGAAUGUAAAGAUGUUUUCUACAAAAUGACACCCUGUCAAAGAAAAACUAAAAAUCAGAUUUAAUGAGACAGACAGUUUAGGGAGGCAAGAGAAAAGGGGUGGCUUAAGAGACAUCAACGUUACAUUCACCGUAGCUUAAGCUUUCGGCAAACCAGCCCCCAUGGUUUGGAAAGGAUGGGAGUGGUGGCAUUUUCCAAAUGAAAUCCAGUUGUGAUAAAACUUAGGGCUGGGUAACAAGGUCUCCCUGAAUUUCCCCGCCCCUGAAAUCCUGCUUUUCUUGCUAUUGGUUUCAAUGUUGUGAUAAAAUUAAAAACCUCACAAGGGACUGUUUUUAAUUUUGGUUUUGAAAGAUUUUUUUUUCCUCAAGUCAAAGAGAACUAUAGAAUAAAUUAUUACAAGGACAUUAAAAGGAUUUCAUUUCCUUGAGCAUACAUAUGCAUUCUAGUGCAGCAUGUCCUCUCCCUCCCAGUGUAGCCAUUGAUCCACAGCUUUUAUAAUGAACUCUAAUAACAACUCUAUUACUGCAGGGCUUCUGAUUGGCUCAGGCACCCACAAAAUUAGCUACAAAGAAGCCAGCUUGUCAAUAUUAAUUCCGCCACAGAGAUUACUUGUUAUGGUAGAACAAAGGUGUUUUGGCUCGGGCUGAACAACUUAACUCCUUGUCUCAUAAAAUUUAAGCUGCUAUUGAUCGCCUUCUUCUAUUGUGCUCAAGGAUUAAAAAAAACACGAGCGCUCGCGCACGCAUGCAGACAGACACCAGUGUGCUGAAUCACUCUGAUGCAUUCUCCUAAACCAGCAGCCCCCCUUUCCCUUCCCUCCCUGGAUAGGAAGAAUCAUUCAGUAACAUGAAGCAAAUUAAAUCAAUGAAUUCAUCCUAGCAGAUGGGUGCUUUAACAGUCAGUUAGCCUUUAGAUAAUUGAGGCGUUGACUCCGGAAUCAUAAAAUGGAUGGCUCGUUUGUACAUUUUACUGAAAUAGAUCACUGAGGUUAAAUAAAUGAAAUCCCAUUUGUCAGCCGGUAAUAAAUGGCCUCCCCUUCUGCAAACAGCUCUGUUUGGCCUAAUAAAUACAGGGAUGUUACAGUGCUCCUCCCUUGAUAGGGUUAUGGCUUAAUGAAAUGGUCUUUCCUCUGCUUGUUUUUGCCUCCUCCUGCACCGUGUGAUAAGUAGCGAACCAACGAAGCUUGUAAUUACAAUCUUACAGAGAACCCAGCCAAUCUGUAUAUAAAUCUCACCAUCCAAUUACAAGAUGUAAUAAUUUUGCAGUCAAGCUGGUAAUGAGGUCUAAUACUCAUGCAUGUGAUAAUCCCCCCUGGAUGCUGACUCUAUCAGAUGUUAGCUUUGUAAUUAUACUGGCAGAAAAUCAUUAUUUCAUGUUCAGCAGAAAAAUGAGGUUGGUGGGAAGUUAAUUUUCUCUAUGCUCUGUGAAGCAUAGACAAAAUUUUAAUGAUUUAAUCAUUAUGGUUAUCCCUUUUGCAAUUGACCCGCGCUACUUCUGUAGAAACAUUGGCACAUUUAAAAGUCCCUGUUACCCGAUAAAGCUUGCCAGGUAUGCAGCUUUUAAUGUAAGAAUAACCGUAUACAAUUAAACUAUUAACCUGCUUGAUAGGGGAAAAAUCAAUAGUUUUUAUGUUUUCAUUAUUUACACAUAGGAUCCAAGGAAAUGUUUAUGUCCAGUCUGUACUGCGAUAAAAAAAGGCUCUUAAAGAAAGAAAAAAGAAAAAUGCUAUAAUUAGGAUGUAAGCCCUCAGAACAAAACAGCAGGUUCACAAUGUUCACAAUGGUAUUUUAGCAGCUCAGUUGUCUUUUGUUCCUUUCCAGUGUAAGAGACAUUUAUAAGAUAUUAUACCUCUGCACAAAGAGCUGAUUACAGCAUUUUUCUCAAGAAAUUGUUUAGAGGAAUCACUUCUGCACAUACAUAUUUUAAUUGUUCUUUCCAUUCUCAAGUUUUUCUUGUUAUUUCUGUUUGUCUAGCUUGCCAAAGGGAAUAACGCAGAGUAGGAGAAAAGUCACAACACUGAGACGGGAGAAUAGAAAAUUGUUAUGAUUUAAUCCCAGAAGGUAGCUCAGCACCACACAGACACUUGCUUACACUCCCCAGGUGGGAUUAGGGGGAGAAUCAGGAAGGUAAAAGUGUGAGAACUCAUGGGUUGAGUUAAAAACAUUUCAUUAGGUAAAGAAAAAGCUGUGUGCACAAGCAAAGCAAAACAAUGAAUUCAUUCAGUGCUUCCCAUCAGCAGGCAGAUGUUCCAAGAAGCAGGGCUCAUCACACAUUCCUUAAGCUGACAAACAUCAUCACUUUGAACAUUUCCCCCUUCCUCCUUUUUUCUCCCAUUUUUAUUGUUCAGCAUGACUUCGUACAGUAUGGUAUGUCUGUUUGAUCAGUCUUGGUCAGGUGUUCUGACGCUGUUCCCUCCCAGCUUCUUGUGCACUUUCAGUUCCUUGCUGGCAGAGCAGCAUGAGGAUUUGAGAAUUAAAAAAGUCCUUGGUUCUGUGUAAACACUGCUCUGUACAAACUAAAAACACUGUUGUGUCAUUACUAUUACUUUAAUCAAAAAUAGAAAACACAGCAUCAUACUAGCCUUAAUGAAGAAAAUUAAUCCUAUCUCAUCCAAAACUAUGAAAAAAUAAGCAGUAGUACAACCCAACACUGCAGAGAAGUGAGUGGACAGGGCAUAAGGCAUCACAUAUUGCACGUUGGUAGCAAAUAUGAUGUAUAAAAAUAAAUUACCUCAAAGAUUCCAGAUAGGGCCAAGACAAAAACUGUGGUCAACCUUUCUGUCCCUGUUCCUCUAUUUUAGGAGAGAAGUCAAGUAUCUGUUAAAUGUUAAUGAAACUAUCGUAAAAUGUGUAAUGUAGAGUUUUCAGCUGAAGACCAGGGGAUAUUUUUCCAAAUCAAACACUUUCAAAGCUACUAAGAUUUGUUAACUUCAUUUUACUUCCUCUAUCUUUUGAUUUUAUGGCUCUAAUGUUCACUUAACUGUCUUAGAGUAUAUGUAUGUAUGUACAUCUAUGCAUAUAUACAUUUAUGUGUAUAUGUAGUAAAAUACAUGUCUGUAUAUAUAUACUCUUUAUCUAAGAUGAACAUUUUCAAAAUGAUAACUGAAUUUUAUCUGCUGGAAAUACUUUCACUGUUCCUUU
rnacentral:lncRNA from 1 species